CAUCACAUUGAAACACUGGUUCCCAUAUGAUCACCAAAGUUAAGCAACAUCGAACCUUGUCAGUACCUAGGUAGGUGACCAUUUGGGAAUACCAGUUGGUGUG